CGGGCAGGUGCUUCUGCACAGGUGUUCCGCAUCUGAGAGUAAUCAGCUGGGCUUCUUUAGGGAGUGGAGAGCCAGAGGAAGACAUCAGCUCGUUUUUGUUCACUCAGUGAUCCUGCCUUGUCGAGCGUUUAAUGGAUUUUUCUGCACCUGCAGUCUAGAGUCAUUUCUGGAGGAGUGUGGAAACUCUAAGUCGCGACGCCUUCGACUGAUGGUCCCUACUCUAUUCUCCAACUCCAAGCCCAGCCUCUCAAAGAACUCACAAAGCCUAACUCAGAGGAGCAUUCACCUGCUUGUCCACCCUCCAACAUCCUCUUCAAGUCACAGCGGAGCUUCGCUUAAGAAAUAGGGAGAACACAAACUGGAAAUUAUUGGAACUUCUCUGCUCACUGCCUGCCAAUCACAGACACCGUGGAGAAGGACUUAUUCCCCCCGUCUAGUUCAAACUACCCACUCAAAUUAUUCCAGUCCGAUCAACUGACCCAGUCCUGGUUCCUGUUCAUCCACCACUCUGGGUUUAAGAAUAAACCGUUUAAAUACA